GAUGAAGAACGUAGCGAAAUGCGAUAAGUAGUGUGAAUUGCAGAAUUCAGUGAAUCAUCGAAUCUUUGAACGCACAUUGCGCCCUUCGGUAUUCCGUUGGGCAUGCCUGUUCGAGCGUCAUUUAAACCUUCAAGCUCUGCUUGGUGUUGGGUGUUUGUUCCGCCUGCGCGCGCGGACUCGCCUCAAAUUCAUUGGCAGCCGGUAUGUUGGCUUCGUGCACAGCACAUUGUGUCGCGACUCCAGCCUGCCUCCUUCCAUCAAGCCCCCCUAUUUCUUUGGCCUCGGAUCAGGUAGGGAUACCCGCUGAACUUAAGCAUAUCAAUAAGCGGAGGA
rnacentral:misc_RNA from 1 species